UAAUAAAUAGAUAAAUAUACGUGUUAUGUUUGUAAAAAACCAAAACAACUCUUACACACCCGCAUUUUUCUGUAUAUACAUUUAAUUUUAUAUUUUUAGUGUUCAACAAAGUAAAGUGAAUGCUUUGCUGAAAGCAACACACAAAAAUAAAAACAUCUUGAAAUGUUUUGCGUUUCAGCUCAGCACCAAUUUGUUAGAUAUAAUAAAAAAAUAUAUGUAGGAGGGCAGGGAGGUUAGGCGGGAAUCUAACAGCCGGUAUUUGUUUUUGUAGAUAGAAAUAAAAACUACGCAUUUGAUUAUUUGCCGAAUUCAGUGGUCCGUUCUUCUUCUUCUUUUCCGUUGUGAUUAAAAUUAAUGCACGAAAAUAUAGGCCCAUCGCCCAUGAAUGUCAUUAUGUAGCUUUGAUCGAACCGCACUACUAACCCCUUUGGUCCAGAAGAGACGAAUUGCCCUCGCCAGGCUCUUGCUUAGGCUCAGACUGAGACUCAACAUGUCCAUGGGUGGCAUUGGCAAUAAAUAAACAAAAUGCUCGCUAUGUACUUACACAUGUCUACUGGAAUAAGUUUAAGUCUGACAAUUCAACCAAAACCAAUUAGAUUUCUAUUUCUAUUAUUAAAAUUGAAAGAAUUAUGCAAUGUGUAAUUGUUUUCAUUAAAAUUUAUUUAACUUUA